GUGCCACGGCCUCUUCCCUCAUUGGUAGAACUUAGGAAUGCCAAUAAACGAAACAAGAGGAGAUUGAAUUUUAAUCAUACAUUUGUCUAACAAAAUAUUUAACCUCUUUGCGUUGACCAAGAGAAAUGGCAUAAAUNNNNNNUGGGCUUCUUUCUGUUUCAUCUACUCUUGCUGGACGUUGGAGGUCAAUGGCAAAGAGAUACAUGCAGUAAAUAGGAGGUGACCAGCUAUAGAAAAUAUGGCAAUGCAUUU
rnacentral:misc_RNA from 1 species